rnacentral:rRNA from 1 species
UUUGAUGGCGACCGGCGCACGGGUGAGUAACACGUAUCCAACCUGCCGAUGACUCGGGGAUAGCCUUUCGAAAGAAAGAUUAAUACCCGAUGGCAUAGUUCUUCCGCAUGGUAGAACUAUUAAAGAAUUUCGGUCAUCGAUGGGGAUGCGUUCCAUUAGGUUGUUGGCGGGGUAACGGCCCACCUAGUCUUCGAUGGAUAGGGGUUCUGAGAGGAAGGUCCCCCACAUUGGAACUGAGACACGGUCCAA